CCCAAGGCCAGAUGCCGCCAGCAGCAGGUCCCACACGGUUGGCGGCUGUGCCCCGGCCUGGGUCCCCAUGCUACGGAGCCUACAUAUGGUGGCGCUUACCACGCGCCUCUGCCCGCUGGAAGGUCCUGCUGUGGUGGUGGGGAGACCCCCCCGGCCUCCCUGGGGGGCCGGGGGGAGCGCAGGAAAGCCCCCCAGCAGUGGUGUCACCAAAUCCUCCUCCCAAGAAGGGGGCCUCUUUCUGAGGGACUCCCCGGGAGGGCACGCUGCCCGCUCUCUGAGCCUCAGCCCCUUCCUCUUGCUUUCUGGGCGCCGGUCCCUUCGGGCAGGGAGCCUGGGACAGAAGCCCGCCCGUCGUGAGCGGAGCGGCCUCCGUCAGGGCCCGGCAUGAGCGGAGCGGCCUCCGUCAGGGCCCGGCGUGAGCGGAGCGGCCUCCGUCAGGGCCCGGCGUGAGCGGAGCAGCCUCCGUCAGGGCCCGGCGUGAGCGGAGCGGCCUCCGUCAGGGCCCGGCGUGAGCGGAGCGGCCUCCGUCAGGGCCCGGCGUGAGCAGAGUGGCUUCCGUCAAGGCGCAGAGGAGAAGCCCCGUGCGCGCAGCGAGUUCCCUGCCUCUACCCCGUGGGUGACGCCUCGGGGGGCUGCUGCGACCAAGCUGGUCAAGGACCAUCUCGCGGGACGGCAGGGGCUUCCUGCCUGGCUGGUGCCAGGGGCAAAGCAGAGAAGGACCUGGAAGGCCUCGGCUCCAUGGCAGAAAAGGCAACUGACACGUGAGCCGAGAAGGCCAGUCCCCCAAGCAGCCGCCUUCCUGUGCGAGCCCUACCUGAGCCGCUGCCCCUCAAGGACACGUGGCCCACACCCCCCCGGUGUCUGGGUUUCAGAUCAGAGUCCGCGUCCUCAGGAUCAUCAGGGUCAGAGGACAGCAGUUAUCUGACUGUCCAACCGUCCAGCCACAUCCCAUAAACAGUGACCUGCGAAAUGUCCUCUAGGAGAUCUGCCCAGUCCGGGGGGAGCCCGACAGGAACGCCCGCCCGGCCUGCUCGGGGAAGGACAGAGAGCCCAGAGUCCUGUCCGCUCACCUUGGCGGACUCUGGCCCAGGGGAGGAAAGGGUCAGACUUCCUGUCAGGAGGGCACGGGAAUAAACCGCUGGUUCGCAGACUCGCCCGCGCACAGCCGGCCUUCCUGUCUGGGGGCCUCGUGCCCAGUGAGCCUCCCUCGUGAGAUGCGGACGCCGCCCGCGCUGGGACAGGGGUCAAGCCUCGCCCCCCAGCCCGACCUGCUUUGCGAAUGUUGGUGACAUCGCCCCUGGUCACCACACCUCCUACUCCCCCAGCGGCUGUGUGGGGACAUGCGUGUGUGUGCUCUCCCUGUGGGUCCCAUGGGGCCUCGGGGCGGGAGGUCAUCCCAGGGACGCCUUAAAGCGGCCACAUGCACACACGUCCCACAAUCCUUGAGGCCUGCAGGCGGUGCUGGGGGAGCUGGGUCAGGGCCGGUGGGCGGCUGGGGGAGUGGGGGUUCCGUGUCCUGGGCAAGCCAGGCCCCUAGGUCCCCAGCUGUCCCUGGGAGACGGUCGCUGGGUGGGAAGUCACGGAUGAACUCUGGCGGGCUCACAGGCAUGUGUAAGG